rnacentral:rRNA from 1 species
AUUGAACGCCGGCGGCAUGCCUUACACAUGCAAGUCGAACGGCAGCACGGGAGCAAUCCUGGUGGCGAGUGGCGAACGGGUGAGUAAUGUAUCGGAACGUGCCCAGUCGUGGGGGAUAACGUAGCGAAAGCUACGCUAAUACCGCAUACGAUCUAUGGAUGAAAGCGGGGGAUCGCAAGACCUCGCGCGAUUGGAGCGGCCGAUAUCAGAUUAGGUAGUUGGUGGGGGAAAGGCUCACCAAGCCGACGCUCUGUAGCUGGUCUGAGAGGACGACCAGCCACACUGGGCCUGAGACACGGCCCAGACUCCUACGGGAGGCAGCAGUGGGGAAUUUUGGACAAUGGGCGCAAGCCUGAUCCAGCAAUGCCGCGUGCAGGAUGAAGGCCUUCGGGUUGUAAACUGCUUUUGUACGGAACGAAACGGCGAGCUCUAAUACAGUUUGCUAAUGACGGUACCGUAAGAAUAAGCACCGGCUAACUACGUGCCAGCCGCCGCGGUAA